AAGUCGUAACAAGGUUUCCGUAGGUGAACCUGCGGAAGGAUCAUUGCAGAGGGGGGGGAGAGAGAUGUUGGGAUGAGAUGGGACAUAUGAGUGACAAACUAUUCUUUAUCAAAAUGACUAGCCACCUGGGAUCUCUGGGCUCUU
rnacentral:misc_RNA from 1 species